CGACACAGGUGGUCGGGUAGAGAAUACCAAGGCGCUUGAGAGAACUCGGGUGAAGGAACUAGGCAAAAUGGUACCGUAACUUCGGGAGAAGGUACGCUCUCGACGGUGAAGUCCCUCGCGGAUGGAGCUGACGAGAGUCGCAGAUACCAGGUGGCUGCAACUGUUUAUUAAAAACACAGCACUGUGCAAAAUCGUAAGAUGACGUAUACGGUGUGACGCCUGCCCGGUGCC
rnacentral:rRNA from 1 species